rnacentral:rRNA from 1 species
GACGAACGCUGGCGGCGUGCCUAAUACAUGCAAGUUGAGCGCUGAAGGUUGGUCCUUGUACCAACUGGAUGAGCAGCGAACGGGUGAGUAACGCGUGGGGAAUCUGCCUUUGAGCGGGGGACAACAUUUGGAAACGAAUGCUAAUACCGCAUAAAAACUUUAAACACAAGUUUUAAGUUUGAAAGAUGCAAUUGCAUCACUCAAAGAUGAUCCCGCGUUGUAUUAGCUAGUUGGUGAGGUAAAGGCUCACCAAGGCGAUGAUACAUAGCCGACCUGAGAGGGUGAUCGGCCACAGUGGGACGGAGACACGGCCCAAACUCCUACGGGAGGCAGCAGUAGGGAAUCUUCGGCAAUGGACGAAAGUCUGACCGAGCAACGCCGCGUGAGUGAAGAAGGUUUUCGGAUCGUAAAACUCUGUUGGUAGAGAAGAACGUUGGUGAGAGUGGAAAGCUCAUCAAGUGACGGUAACUACCCAGAAAGGGACGGCUAACUACGUG